rnacentral:lncRNA from 1 species
UAUAUCGCAAUUUUCAUUAUCUCUGUUAUGUGUUGGUAUUAUUUGUUGAUUUGUGUUAUUUUUUGUGCGCAUUUGUGUUUUGUUUUUUAUUUGUGAUUUCUUUGAUUUUGGGUGAGAAGACCUUGAUUUCCUUUUUGGUAGCAUUUUGCCAUGGAAUGUUAUUUUCCUUUUCUCGUCUUUUCAUUUAAUGUCGGUUUCUU